UACGGAGGGUGCAAGCGUUAUCCGGAUUCACUGGGUUUAAAGGGUGCGUAGGCGGGUUGGUAAGUCAGUGGUGAAAUCUUCAAGCUUAACUUGGAACUGCCGUUGAUACUAUCAAUCUUGAAUGUUGUGGAGGUAAGCGGAAUAUGUCAUGUAGCGGUGAAAUGCUUAGAUAUGACAUAGAACACCGAUAGCGAAGGCAGCUUGCUACACAAUAAUUGACGCUGAGGCA
rnacentral:rRNA from 1 species